rnacentral:lncRNA from 1 species
AGACAGUACAGUGUAGUUCCUUGAGAGAUGGCAUCAGAGUUGGAAAGAACUGGGUUCAAGACUCACUCUGGCGUGUAUCAGCAGUAUGAUUCUGGGAUCAAAAGGAGCUCUGAAUUCCAGCUGACCUUCCACAGAGAAGCGAUUUACUGCCAAGUGAUCUGCCUAAUCAUUGGUGAGGCUCUUGUGAAACUCACCAUAUUCCUCUUGGCUGAUGUCAUCAAGGUUAUGUGUCCAGAUGGGCUUGGUCUUUUUCAGCUCUUCCUGAUCAACAUAUUUCUCUUCAGUCUUCUUGGUUUUCUUCUUAGCCUUGCCUCCAUCUUCUUCAUCAGAUCCUACAUCUUCAAUGUGGGGUUUCUCCUCAUCUUUAGCGGGCACUUCCUCUUUGUCUUCCUCCAUCACAUCAUCACUUAUUUCCUUCUCUUGUUCUUUCUCCAAAUAAAGUGUGAUGGGAUAGCCAAUGAACUGAGAGUGCUUCUUCUUCUUCUUCUUCUUUUUUUUGAAGGGAGAUCCUUUAUUGGUGGAUCUUUCAAUUUUUUAAAAUUUAUUUUUAGUUUUCAA